rnacentral:rRNA from 1 species
UGUGUCCUACGGGAGGCAGCAGUGGGGGAUAUUGCACAAUGGGGGAAACCCUGAUGCAGCGACGCCGCGUGAGUGAAGAAGUAUUUCGGUACGUAAAGCUCUAUCAGCAGGGAAGAAAAAUGACGGUACCUGACUAAGAAGCCCCGGCUAACUCCGUGCCAGCAGCCGCGGUAAUACGGAGGAUGCGAGCGUUAUCCGGAUUUAUUGGGUUUAAAGGGUGCGUAGGCGGAAUGCCAAGUCAGCGGUAAAAUCGCGGGGCUCAACCUCGCUCCGCCGUUGAAACUGGCGUUCUUGAGUGGGCGAGA